UAUAUUUAGGUGUAUGAUGCACAAAGAUUUUUGAUGUCUUAGGAAAUAGUUUAAGUCUAUUAAAUAUAG
rnacentral:tRNA from 1 species